rnacentral:lncRNA from 1 species
GACUGCCCAGGCAAGCUAGCUCAGCGCAUCACUGAGAGAAAACUUGAAGACUCACUUAAAUGAUUGACCUAUUUCUGGGCUCUCUGUUGUUGCAAAUUACAAGAAUAUACUGUGUGCAUUUUCAGGGCAGAACCUCCAGGCUGGACCACCUGGCCAGGCACUUAGGACUCUAUGAGUCUGGUUCAUGGACAACACAGAUAAAAUGGCUCAAGGAGAAGCAAUGGAUCCUGUUUACUCGAGUCUCCGCUGUGUCACUUACCCAGAAAUCAGAGGCAGCAACAUUUCCAGGAAUAUAUGGGUUUCAGACAGAUCAGUAAGAAUGUCAAGCAGCAGGAAGAGAGAACACUGCAGGCUUCAGUUCAGUUGAGAAGAUUGAGGCAAGGAAGUCGGUGGUCAAAAAUACCCUCAUAGCCGUGAGAAAGUCCAUCUUGAUGUUAUCCAGUGAAACUUAAUGACAGCAAAGGAGCCAGGCAACCUGCUUAAUUUUGGAAAUGAAACUGUCAGGAGAGUUGAUGAGAAUUUGAAAAGAUACAACAAAGUAGAAUGCUAACACCAAUUCCAAACAAUUAUAAAGAAUCAUAAUAAAAGUUGCUAUGAAUAAAAUAUCUCAUAUUUAUCUCAUUUAUUUCUCACAAUAAUCUUUUUACUCCUGUCUGUAAUAGGAAGAAAUUAAAGCUCGGAGAAGUUCAAUACCUUGCCCAGAAUCUUUCUCUCUCUCUCUCUCUCUGUCACACACACACACACACACACACACACACACACACUAGUGAACAGCAUAGUCAACAUUUGAACACCAGUCUGCCUGAUUUCAAAGUCUAUGUAUUUGGUUGUGAGGGCGAUCUGGCUGUGACAUCUGCCACAUGUUGAUCACCAGGGUUGAUUCGACUGAUCUGGCUGGCUAGGCGGGUGUCCCCUUCCUCCCUUGCCACUCCACGUGUGUCCCACCCAAAGCCUCACACUCAGUCGAAGAGGACGACCAUCCCCAAUAGAAGAGGGCCAGUCUUCAGUGA